rnacentral:rRNA from 1 species
AACGGCCGUAUCAUGCUGAAUAUACCGGUUCUCGUUAGAUCACCGAAGUGAAGCACCAUUGGGCGCGUUCAGUACUUGGGCGGGUGACCACCUGGGAACACCGCGUGCCGUU